UACGGAGGAUCCAAGCGUUAUCCGGAUUUAUUGGGUUUAAAGGGUGCGUAGGCGGAUUGAUAAGUUAGAGGUGAAAUGUCCGAGCUCAACUCGGGAACUGCCUCUAAUACUGUUGAUCUAGAGAGUAGAUGCGGUAGGCGGAAUGUAUGGUGUAGCGGUGAAAUGCUUAGAGAUCAUACAGAACACCGAUUGCGAAGGCAGUUUACCAAUCUAUAUCUGACGUUGAGGCACGAAAGCGUGGGUAUCGAACAGG
rnacentral:rRNA from 1 species